GGCCGUGUGGCGUAAUGGCAGCGCAUCUGACUACGAGACGCUAGCAAGUGCUAGGUCAACAAAGUAAUCAGGAGGUUGCAGGUUCGACCCCUGUCUCGGUCA
rnacentral:tRNA from 1 species